GAUUAGGUGGUGGCAGCUGCUGUCUGGGAGGCGCUGUGGGGGUAGAGGCAGAGCAGGAAAGAGGCUGCCUUGGCUGGAGGAAGAAGAAGAUGGUGCGAGUCUCAAGCCCCAGUGGAGCAGGACUAUUUGCCAUCUGCUGCACUAGUUGCCUCGUCUCCAAAUCAGGCCUGGUCUGUAGUUUGCUGCAAAUAUUAGGAUCUGAGCCACACUAGUACUUCCCACCCAUGGCAAGCCUUGAACCCUUUGUACUGUGGCUGCCAAGAUGAUGUGAAGGCAGGGGGCCAAUUUCCAGCUUAGGGGGGGAAAAAAACACGUGCAUUAAAUGGGAAUAGAUUCUUCUCCUUUCCUCUUAUCAUCCUCAACCAUUUUAAAAGCUUUAGAACUAAAAAAAAAAAAAAAAAAAAAGAGCUGCCCCAAACAAAGCUAAGGAAGAUGAUGGGAUUGUCAGACUUCCCCCACCUCACCCAUGCAGGACAGAAUGGUUUAUUAAUGAUCCAUGGGAAAAGAACAAUUGUCCUGCUGGCAGCUUCACAUGUAAUUAACCAGCUUCACAGAGAGCUGGCUGCCUUCUUCAAGUCUAGCAUCUGCAGAGCUACCUGACAAAGCAACACUGGGUUUCUAGUGAAAUCUCCCUACUGGGAGAAGGACAUCCAAAAUAGUGACCUCAACCCACUGAGCCCUCAGAAAACAUGAUAGAGAUGGCAGCGCUCCUCUGGAGAGGCCUGUGUGCUCAGGCUGACACAAAAGACUGCGGCUCCUCUGAUGGCAACAACCAGCUCUGGUAACCAGCAUUCCCACUGAUCACCAUUACGGGCACACUCAGAGAAACUUCACCAAAGCUCCAGAAACAGUGAUUUUCCAGGAUGAUUAAAGAGCUAAGAGAAACCAGGAAGUGCUAUUUCAAAG